AUCUCCUUUUUCUGCUUACUGAGUCAAAUACUUGGACACAUGUCUGAAUCCAAUCAUAGUAUCCAUGCCCCGAAAACAUUUCAUUUUCAUAUGCUAAAUUAAAAUAAAAUAUUAUUACUACCCUGAAACUAGAAAAUAUGAUGAAAAAUUCAAAAGAUCAUUGACAUCAUACAAUUUCAUCUAACAAAAGAGAGAGAAAAUAAGAUACAUACC
rnacentral:lncRNA from 1 species